rnacentral:rRNA from 1 species
GGAANUACUGGGCGUAAAGCGAGCGCAGACGGUUACUUAAGCAGGAUGUGAANUCCCCGGGCUCAACCUGGGAACUGCGUUNUGAACUGGGUGACUAGAGUGUGUCAGAGGGAGGUAGAAUUNCACGUGUAGCAGUGAAAUGCGUAGAGAUGUGGAGGAAUACCGAUGGCGAAGGCAGCCUCCUGGGAUAACACUGACGUUCAUGCUCGAAAGCGUGGGUAGCAAACAGGAUUAGAUACCCUGGUAGUCCACGCCCUAAACGGUGUCAAUUAGCUGUUGGGCAACUUGAUUGCUUAGUAGCGUAGCUAACGCGUGAAAUUGACCGCCUGGGGAGUACGGUCGCAAGAUUAAAACUCAAAGGAAUUGACGGGGACCCGCACAAGCGGUGGAUGAUGUGGAUUAAUUCGAUGCAACGCGAAGAACCUUACCUGGUCUUGACAUGUACGGAAUCCUCCAGAGACGGAGGAGUGCCUUCGGGAGCCGUAACACAGGUGCUGCAUGGCUGUCGUCAGCUCGUGUCGUGAGAUGUUGGGUUAAGUCCCGCAACGAGCGCAACCCUUGUCAUUAGUUGCCAUCAUUUAGUCGGGCACUCUAAUGAGACUGCCGGUGACAAGCCGGAGGAAGGUGGGGAUGACGUCAAGUCCUCAUGGCCCUUAUGACCAGGGCUUCACACGUCAUACAAUGGUCGGUACAGAGGGUAGCCAAGCCGCGAGGUGGAGCCAAUCUCACAAAACCGAUCGUAGU